rnacentral:rRNA from 1 species
UACGUAGGGACCGAGCGUUGUCCGGAAUCAUUGGGCGUAAAGAGCGUGUAGGCGGCCACUUAAGUCCUGCGUGAAAUCUUGCGGCUCAACCGCAAGCGGUCGUGGGAAACUGGGUGGCUAGAGUGCGGGAGAGGAGAGUGGAAUUCCUGGUGUAGCGGUGGAAUGCGCAGAUAUCAGGAAGAACACCCGUGGCGAAGGCGGCUCUCUGGGCCCUACCUGACGCUGAGACGCGAAAGCGUGGGGAGCGAACCGG